CGGGCAUUUGAGGUACUGUCACCAUAUCCUGGUAAGGUGUUUAAAUGGUUUAAAAACUAUGGUAAAACAAUAUUACAACUCUGCGCAAAAUGUUCACUAUUGUGAAUGUUGUUCACAUAUAUUUUUUUACAGUGCAUAAUUUAGCCAACCAUAAGAUAAAUCAAUUUAACCAUAGUGGCUACCAUCGGUCUGCACCUCAUGUUUUCAACUGUCACUUAGCAAUGUUUUUCUUCGGAAAUAUUUUGUGAAGAUUUAUUUCGAGUUUCAUUGGCACGAAAAACCAAGACCGAGAUCGACACUGAAUUGGUAUCCUGGCAAAAGAUGUUGUUCCGACCUUGGUUCCGACGGCACCUUGCGGCUAGAUUGAAAAGAGUAAUCACUCCACGUAUGCUGUUCGUUCCGGUGGAAAAGUUCAGCGAAUUUAUUGAUGAAAGCAAAGCAGAUAACGUCUUCCCAGUAAUGAGCCGAAUUAUUCUACACUUCAAAACAAUGAGAUUGACCUACAAAUUUCUACCCACCAGCAAUUCCACCAGCAUGCUGCCAUACACAACAGAGAAUAUUGCCCAACGGAAUGCGAAUAAUCCGCUCGCUAUUGACCACUCAACGAAAGGACACCAGCACGGUUCCUACUUAGCUUCCGACCUCAACCAUUAUUCCCGAAGCGUCUCCACCACAUCAGAAAGCUUUUCCUGAAAACGGCCGAAGUGAUCAUAUACAAAUUCAUUACGAUAUGUGCAAACAAUUGCUUCAGGAUUAAAUAAUUUGAAACAUAUUUCCAUUGCAUUUUAUUAAAUUGUAAAAACAAGCAUGACAAGCCUUAUAUAGACCACAUCGGCUACUGUUCUGCUUUAUGGUAGAACACCAUCUAAACUGUUCAUUCAAUUGUCCCACACAAACUUUUUCAACCUCACUUACUAUGUUACUAUUACUGUCGUCCAACAAAAUUAGUAUGAGAAAAAUCCAAUUUUGGAAUGGUAAACAUUCUUAACGACCCGUUGCUCGUAUGGUCGGGUUUUCAAAAACCAUAAUCAGUAUGGUUGAAACUUUAUCCAGCAGUGGUUCGCUUAUGGUUGGAUGUACCGUUUUGGAUAUGGUUGAAAAUGGAAUGUAAACCAUAAUUGAUGAUGUUUUCGUGUGGUUCGGA